GUGACCACGUGAUCAACGAUGUUCGCGUCCGUCCGUCUUUCUCCGCAUCUGAGGUGACGUAACAUUAGCGUUGUCUUGCUAUCUACGUACAAGUAUCUUGUUCGUUUUACAGAUAAUUCGCGAGUCACUCAGCGCUAGCAGUAUAGAUUACUUAUAAGCAUCAUAAGACCGCUGCUAUAAAUAAUGUUAAGCGUCUGAAGACAAGUCCACCUAGGAGGUACGACGGGGCUGGUAUCAAUGAUCAACUGAAAGCAGCAGAAAUGAAGAAAUUGAAGAAAAAGGAAUCGACGACUUAACGGAUAUUGCAAACCAUCAGUUCUAAGGCCAGACGGAAAAUUCAGUAAUAGCUAAGAGGAUUUGGGCCACCAACGCCCGGAAACAAACAAUUGUCGGUGGUUUCUUAAGGAGAUUUGGAGAUGUCAGUAAAAAUCACUAAAAGUCGUUUACAAGAGAUUAGUGCAACUAAAAUGAAGGGAACAUCACUGCAAUCUACGUAAGUUUACUAGCUAAAGCGUUAGUUGAAUUACAACAAGAACAAGAACAAGAACGAUGACAAAAGCAACAUCAAAAAUUAGUUAUAACUAAUUGGAACAAAGACACCAUAAAAGACAAACAAAUGAAUAAUAUUAACCAAAUUAUUACAACACUACACUGCAAAUAGUAUUAGUGUAUAAUUGCUGAAAAAAAUAAAAUAACUGACAUAAAUACUCAGGAUGUUCAAGUAAUUAUGGUCUGGUUUUAAUUGGGGGAUGAAAAUAAUUAAAAGCUUCACUUGGAAAGUCGUGCUGAAAAACAAGAUAAAUUACACAAAUGUAGU